AAAACUCAGGUUCGGCGGCCUAAGCUUAGAGUUCGGCGGCCGAACCAUUUGGGGCGAAGAAACUAUUCCUUUAAAACUGAACUUUCGGCGGCCUAAACCCAAUGUUCGGUGGCCGAACAUGGUGGACUUUCGUUUCUGUUCCUCACUUUCGGAAGCCAAACUUUAGGCUUCGGAGGCAGACCCAAAACACACUUUCGGCGGCCGAAGGUUAAAUGUUCGGCGGCCGAAGGUGUGGGACUUUCGUCUCUGUCCCUCACUUUCGGAAGCCGAAGGUUACACUUAGGGGGCUGGUUGAAAACCCACUUUCGGCGGCCGAAAGUCAAUGUUCGGCGGCCGAACAUAGGGGACUUUCGUUUCUGUCCCUGACUUUCGGAAGCCGAAAGAUGACUUUAGGGGGGCAAAAAAUAAUUCUUUAAAUCUUUGAAAAAUCAUAACUUAGGCUGUAAAAAUCCUUUUUUCAAACCGUUUGAACUUUUGCAACCUAUAUUUUUAGAUCUUUCAUUUUGAUAAAAAAUAAUUUUAAAAUCACUUCUUUUGGAAAAUUUCAUUUUGGUCCUUGAAAGUCAAGUACUUCAAAAAAAUGGCCAUAUCUAAAAGAACUUUUAGAAAUGAAAGAACCCUUGAGCCAUCACAAUUAAUUACUUGAAAUUCACAAUGAAUAAAAUGACAAGCAUGCUAAAUGAAAAUACUUUAUGAUCCCUUCCUUGUAGUAUGCUUCCAAAAUUGGCACUUUUCACUUUUGCGAUUGAAGCAAUAUCAUUUGUUUCAAU
rnacentral:lncRNA from 1 species